CAGGUUAAAAUCUCCCAGUACGAUCGCCCUAUCACCCGGUGCUGCGCACUCAACGAUGGACUCAACAAAAUUAACAAACGAAUGAUAUCGACGAGCAUUCGAGAUCGCAUCAUUUCGGUGCAAACUAGACGUUGAUGGACCGCAAUGAGCACUCCACCGCCAGACUGCUUAUCACUGUUAAGAGAAUUUCUAUCACAACGGAAGACAGAAAAACAAGGGGGGAAUAACAUUCGAUCAUGGACAUCAGAAUCCAAGAAUUCCUAAACUCGGUGAGAUAAUGUGUUGCAGUUCUUCCUCUGAUUCGGGAGCAGUGAGAAGUAUACAUCUACUACAACUCUACUGCUGCAUUGGGACCGUGGUUCUGCUUGGUAGUGCGAGAGGCGUAGAGUAGCAAUCAUUUGAUUGGACUGGUCCAUCUCGCUGGCGUUCGUCACGAAAAGUGAAUCUUUCCCGCUCCAUAUUUACGAAUUCUCGAAAAUAAAUCCACUUUUGCCAGCUUGCUGGCUGC